rnacentral:rRNA from 1 species
AUUGAACGCUAGCGGGAUGCUUUACACAUGCAAGUCGAACGGCAGCGCGGACUUCGGUCUGGCGGCGAGUGGCGAACGGGUGAGUAAUGUAUCGGAACGUGCCCAGUAGCGGGGGAUAACUACGCGAAAGCGUAGCUAAUACCGCAUACGCCCUACGGGGGAAAGCAGGGGAUCGUAAGACCUUGCACUAUUGGAGCGGCCGAUAUCGGAUUAGCUAGUUGGUGGGGUAACGGCUCACCAAGGCGACGAUCCGCAGCUGGUUUGAGAGGACGACCAGCCACACUGGGACUGAGACAGGGACCAGACUCCUGCGGGAGGCAGCAGUGGGGAAUUUUGGACAAUGGGGGCAACCCUGAUCCAGCCAUCCCGCGUGUGAGAUGAAGGCCUUCGGGUUGUAAAGCACUUUUGGCAGGAAAGAAACGUCGCGGGCUAAUACCCCGUGGAACUGACGGUACCUGCAGAAUAAGCACCGGCUAACUACGUG